AUGUUUCUUCCCCUGCCGCGGCUUGUUUUCUUCAAGGGCCAAGGCCAGCCAGCUGAGCUGUCUUCCUUUUGCCCUCCUUCUCUCUCUUGCACGUGGCCCAGCUUGAGCUGGUGUCUAGAAAAGUCUGCACGCAGAGCUGACUCUCAGUGAGCUUGCUUGCGCUCCAAAAGAAUCGCUAUUGGGAGACAGGGUGCUGCUUAUCCGCACUGCCAGUUCGGAGCAAGCCCAUGUUGAGGAGGAAGGCGGGAUGGGGGUGGUACACACCUCAGAGUUCUGGCCAGAAUUCUAGUUUUGCUGCCGCUGGGUUUUUUUCCCUAAGCAGAACAGGUUUUUCUCAGGCCAGCCAGGCUGCCAUGAACUUGUGAUUCCUUCAAGCAGUAAACACCACCACGGGUUUCAAUCUGCACUCUGGCGCCUCUUCCUCGUUUUGCUUUCAAACUGCGGUUUGAAAAAUUGGACCGGCUAGGAUUGGAAAGGAGGCUCGGAAUUAAGAGCACUCGCUGCUCUUGCAGAGAACUCAGUCCUGGAAUGUGCUGAGAUCCCCACUGGUGCCUACAAAGAAACACAGGUUCAUCAUCUCACAGUUGCAGCUGGCUUACAAAACCAGAGAUGCUGUUUCUCUGUCUUCUAAGGACCCCUAUGCCCAAGGGAACAAGUCAUGCAGCUCACCUCAUUGUCCUGUAGUGCCACUGAACAGUAGUACCAAGCAGUAUGCUAGAAAAUGACCCAUUCUAGUAUACAGGCCUACCUCAGAGACUGUGGGUUCAAGUUACAGAUGUCUGACAUAGGACAGAUACUGCAAUAAAGCGAGUGAAGGAGGAAGGAGAUAGAAUUCCUCCUAAGUCUUUGCUCCAUCUCGGAUUCUCUUUGCCCCCAACACACAUAGUAUUGUCUAAUAUUCAACAUGACACUCGUCACCUGUCAAAGAAAAUAGGAGGCCAAGCUUCAUUUUGACAGGAGCUGUGUCUCUGAGUGAGGCUGUCCACAUCCUUGGUUUGGGCUGUUCCUCUUAUGACUCACCCAUAACCUGAACUUCUCUGAUGUAACAAGCUCUUGGAAGUUCUAUUGAAUGGACAAAUACUUCCCAGGACAACCUCAGAUGCCCAGACAAUGUAGACCAUGCAAAUUGGCAAAGAUCAGAUUAACCCAGCAGAUGUAGAAAAUCUGGACCUUAAAAAAAAGCAUACCUAAGGCGUGCUUUGACAACUCCUUUGGGACAUUGCUUUUCUGUCAUCCUGAGUCUUUAAGCUACGAACAUAAGCACAAGAAUCAUGGUGCUGAAAGGAGCCUGAAGUGCAAAAACAAGCUGCAACAAGAGAGCCAGCACACCCUGCACUGUUUGCAGAAACUCCCUAGGGACCCAAGGUUACAUAAAACUCAACGGAAAACACAACACACCACCCUCUGCACACUCUUUCUCUACUGCAGAGUUUUAUAAUCGUUGAACUCGUCUUUGCUGCUUGUGAAAUCCAUUUUCCUUGAAGAUGCUUCGUCUGUUUUCAUGGGCUCGUGGAGCAAUUCCUUGGGGGUUAACAAGAGGUUAGAGUCCUGUGUUCCAGAACCUCCUGCCUUGAGCCUUAGGUCAAAUGACAUCAGCGGUUCCUGCUCUGAAGAGGUGAAGAUUCUUUCAACGAAAUAAAAUGAAAACCACUUCCGUUUGCUAACAGUGCCUGUGUCCGGGUGAAUCUGUACAUUGCAUAUCAAAGUUUACCAAUGCAAUCACUGACACAAACAUUCCGUUUUGAAUUUUUAAAACUGCAUGAGUGGACACCACUCUUUCUAGAAGCCAUAGAUUAUUAAAAGUUUACCUUAGUGCCAGGCAUAGGAUAUGUUCUUAAGAGUCAUUGGUUAGGGAGGUCCCGGAUAGUCCCCAGGACAGCACAAGCCAGUGCUCUUGGCUACCUCUCAAAAGCCUUUAAGAUGUGCUUUAUAAAUGAUUUCACACUUAUUCAAUUCUUUCCUUCCACCUUGUGCAUACAAGGGAUCCAACUCAUGUCACCAGGCUUGGUGGCAAGUGCCUUUAAAGGGCAUUUCGGGGGGGGGGCUCCUUUCUGUUUGUGUGGGGGAAGGACUUUCACAGAUGGAUUCUAAAAUUUACAUGGAAAGGUAACUAGUGCUUUUAAAGAAAAGUACCUGAUUUGAAGAACUUCUAAAGCUGAAAUUUCAAAGAUAAGGGAGUAUUGAUGUAAAUUCAAAGAGAUAUUCUUUAUUGUUAUUGAGUCAGCAGAUUGAUUUGAAGAGUACUGAUAAAUGUAUAAUAUUAAGACUUCUGAUAAAAAAAGACUUCUGACUCAUAAUCACAGUAUAGUUUUCUAGUUCAUUUGGUUUUCUUUCAUGGCUGGAAGGAUGGUUCAGUGGUUAAGAGUACUGGCUGCUCUUCCAGAGGUCCUGAGUUCAAUUAUUGGCAACCACGUGGUGGCUCACAACCAUCUGUAAUGAGAUCAGCUUCCCUCUUCUGGCGUGUCUAAAGACAGCAACAGUGUACUCAUAAAAUAAACAAACAAGUAAAUAAAUCUUAAAAAAAAAAAACUAUCACAGUUGCUUGGGGUUUUUCAGUUUUGUUAUUUUGUGUAUGGUUGCUCUGCCUGCGUAUCUGCAUGAUAUGUGUGUGCUGUGCCCUCAGAAGCCAAAAGAAGACAUUGAAUCCUCUGGGACUAGAGUCACAGAUGGUUGUGAACUGCCAUGUGGGUACUGGGGAUUGAACCCUGGUCCUCCAGAAGAGCAGCCAAUGCUCUUAAGCACUGAACCAUCCUCCAACCUCAGUUCUUAUAGUUUUUACUUAGGAUUUUUUUUUUUAAAAAAGGCUUUAUGUAGACAUGCAUAUUCUCUUCCUUCUUGGGAACUAUGCUGAUAGGCCUGCCUGACCUCCCCAUAAAAACAUUAAGAAUAUUUACUUCUGUGUUUCUGAAAGAUCUUGAUCUUAAUUUACUUUUAGAGUUUUUGUCAGAUUUUAGUACCAGGGUACUUUAGGUUUCAUAAAUUAGUUUCUGAAGAUAUUUGGGCAGACUUGUGAUUCAUUUUUUUAGGUGGUUGGCAGGACUAACAAAGCCAGAGAAACAUUUGCCGUGCUAUUAGUAGGCCACUUCUCUUACAUUUCUUAGAAAUAACCCAAAACCUCAAGUAACUGCUUUCUUAAUUUUUAAUCUUUUAUUCUGUUUUACAUACAUUUUAAUUAAAAGGCAUACUUUAUGUCCCUUCCCUUUCCACCCAGUCCUUUCUGCUGGGCAGACUCCUAGCUAGUCUGUUCCCCUGGAGACACCAUAUCCUGAGCCAUCCCAGAAGAUCUGCUGCACUCAGAGCAUUUGGUAAGAACCCUCUGGAAGUCCCACAGUUGCCAUGGGGAGCCCAGUGGCCUCAGGACCCAUCACCACCCAAAGACCCCUCCACUUCCACCCUGUCCUUUCUACUCUGCUCCCCUGGAGACACCAUAUUCUGAGCCAUCCCAGAAGAUCCACUGCACUCAGGGUAAAUGACACCACAGCCCGAGGCAUCCCAGUAGAUCUGCUACACACAAGGCAACUGAGUGCCAGCUUGUCUGCUUCCAUGAAGACACCACAGCCUUGAAGGCAUCCCAGGAGCUCUUCUGUACACAGGGCAACAGGGCAGCAGACACCACAGUUUGAAGACCUCAUGGGGGCUCUCUGGCAUGCAAGGCAACUGAUCCAACAGACUGAAACCCUUUCUGGAAUUCUGCUGCACACAGGGAAACAGAAACCACAGUCCAUAGAGCCCCCUGGGGAACAUCUUCACACAGGACAACAGCCUGACUGCUCCUCUGAAGACCCAACAGUCUGAAGGCCUCCCAGGAGAUCUACUGCAGCCAGGGCAGCAGAUCAGUAGCUUCCCUCCCCCUCUGAAGAGCCCCCCCAGUUAGAAGACACAGGUGGUCUGCUACAGCCAGGGCCACAGGCCUACCAGGAAACCUGCAGCAAUUCAGGGACAAAAGAGGCAGACUCCAGACAGAGACACCUAGACCAACAAACACCAGGGACAACCAGAUGGUGAGAGGCAAAUGCAAGAAGACCAUAAGCAACAGAAGCCAAUAUAUGUGAGCAUCAUCAGAAACCACUUCUCCCACCACAACAAGCCCUGAAUACCAACACAUCUGAAAAUCAGGAAGCUGAUCUAAAAUCCUAUCUCAUGAAGAUAAUAAAGUCCUUUAAGGAUGAUAUAAAUAACUCAAUGAAAAAAAAUACAGGAAAACACAGGUAAAUAGGUAGGAGCCUUUAAAGAGGAAACAAAUAAAUCCCUUAAAGUAAUACAGUAAAACACAAUGAUACAGGUGAAGGAAUUGAAUAAAGCAGGCCAAGACCUAAAAGUGAAAGUAGAAACAAUAAAGAAAACACAAAUAGAGGCAAACCUGGAAAUGGAAAACCUAGGGAAGAGGUCAGGAAUUACAGGUGAAAGUAUCACCAACAGAAUACAAUAGAUAGAAGGGAGAAUCUCAGGUGUAGAAGAUACCAUAAAAGAGAUUAACACAACUGUCAAAGAAAAUUCAAAAUAUAAAAUACUCCUAACCCAAAGCAUCCAGGAAAUUCAGGGCACAAUGAAAAGAUCAAAUCUAAGAAUAAUUGGAAUACAGGAGAACGAAGAUUCCCAGCUCAAAGGUCCUGAAAAUGUCUUCAACAAAAUCAUAGAAGAAAAUCUCCCCAACCUAAAAAAAGCAAUAGCCAUAAAAGUACGAAAAGCUUACAGAACAACAAAUAAAUGGGAUCAGAAAAGAAAAUCUUCUUGUCACAUAAUAAUUAAAAUGCUAAACUCAUAGAACAAAGAAAGAAUAUUAAAAGUUGCAAGGGAAAAGGGCCAAAUANNNNNNNNNNNNNNNNNNNNNNNNNNNNNN
rnacentral:lncRNA from 1 species